GACGAACGCUGGCGGCGUGCCUAACACAUGCAAGUCGAGCGGGACAGUUAAUCAGCUUGCCGAUUAACUGUUUAGCGGCGGACGGGUGAGUAACACGUGGGCAACCUGCCCUAUACAGGGGGAUAGCCAACCGAAAGGUUGAAUAAUACCGCAUAAUUACAGCAUAACGCAUGUCAUGCUGUAAAAAGGAUUCCUUUCCGAGAGGAAAGGCAUCCGGUAUAGGAUGGGCCCGCGUCCCAUUAGUUAGUUGGUGAGGUAGCGGCUCACCAAGGCAGCGAUGGGUAGCCGAUCUGAGAGGAUGACCGGCCACAUUGGAACUGAGAGACGGUCCAGACUCCUACGGGAGGCAGCAGUGGGGAAUAUUGCGCAAUGGGGGAAACCCCGACGCAGCAACGCCGCGUGAGUGAAGAAGGUCUUCGGAUUGUAAAGCUCUGUCUUUGGGGACGAAAGAAAUGACGGUACCCAAGGAGGAAGCCACGGCUAACUACGUGCCAGCAGCCGCGGUAAUACGUAGGUGGCAAGCGUUGUCCGGAAUUACUGGGCGUAAAGGGUGCGUAGGCGGUUAAUUAAGUCAGAUGUGAAAUUCCGGGGCUCAACUUCGGAAUUGCAUUUGAAACUAGUUGGCUAGAGUGCAGGAGAGGGAAGCGGAAUUCCUAGUGUAGCGGUGAAAUGCGUAGAUAUUA
rnacentral:rRNA from 1 species